GGUGCUGUGGCAUAGUGGGUUGAUGCACUGGCCUGAAGCGCCAGCAUCCCAUAUGGGCCCCAGUUUGAGACCCGGCUGCUCCG
rnacentral:tRNA from 1 species